AGGGUUGUGGCCAAAAUGGUAAGGCAACGGACUUUGAUUCCGUAAAGUGCUGGUUCGAGUCCAGCUAAUCCUA
rnacentral:tRNA from 2 species